rnacentral:rRNA from 1 species
UUGUAAUUUGCAGAGGAUGCUUUUGGCGCGGUGCCUUCCGAGUUCCCUGGAACGGGACGCCAUAGAGGGUGAGAGCCCCGUACGGUUGGACACCAAGCCUUUGUAAAGCUCCUUCGACGAGUCGAGUAGUUUGGGAAUGCUGCUCUAAAUGGGAGGUACAUUUCUUCUAAAGCUAAAUAUUGGCCAGAGACCGAUAGCGCACAAGUAGAGUGAUCGAAAGAUGAAAAGCACUUUGAAAAGAGGGUUAAACAGCACGUGAAAUUGUUAAAAGGGAAGCGCUUGUGACCAGACUUGCGUCCGGUGAAUCACCCAGCUCUCGCGGCUGGGGCACUUCGCCGGCACAGGCCAGCAUCAGCUUGCCGUCGGGGACAAAAGCUUCAGGAACGUGGCUCCUCUCGGGGAGUGUUAUAGCCUGUUGCACAAUACCCUUCGGCGGGCUGAGGUACGCGCUCCGCAAGGAUGCUGGCGUAAUGGUCAUCAGCGACCCGUCUUGAAACACGGACCAAGGAGUCAACCUUAUGUGCGAGUGUUUGGGUGUUAAACCCCUACGCGUAAUGAAAGUGAACGCAGGUGAGAGCUUCGGCGCAUCAUCGACCGAUCCUGAUGUUCUCGGAUGGAUUUGAGUAAGAGCAUAUAGGGUUGGACCCGAAAGAAGGUGAACUAUGCGU